AGAAACAAGCAGGAGGGCAUGAAAUAGCCAGACACAGCCAGCUAUGGAGAGGACUGGGAGAGGUGCAUCAUCAGUAUGCCUGUUAUGAAUACAUUGUUGGUAUUCAGCCUGAUCCUGGAGUAAAGAAGUGUGGACAUAUGUGAUGCUAUCUGCUAGCAAGGCCCGAUGUAGCCAGAGCUGAGACUAUUAAUUUUGAACAGUGAUGAUUGAAAGAUGAGAAAUGGUAAUUCAUGGAGUCCUGUGAAGGCUUCAAGGAGCAGAAGGAAUCAACAUGCAUGCAAAUCCCAAAGGUUUAGGACACUACUGUAGAGAGUGACACCAGUGCCGACGAUGUACCCCUCGCAGCCGUUCAAGCGAAGAGGGCAUUGGAAGAUGCUACUGUGACCAAGAAGGAUAAGAUUGCCUGAACAUAUACAAUCCAACACAAGAAGCUGAGAAGUGUGAUUUCCCAACAUCUAACAACAAAUAGACCUAUAAUUUCUUAGCUUAUCUCUCCUGUCCUUCUUCACUAAUGGAGGACAUUGGCAAUUUCCCAAAGGUACAAUUCCUGAAUCUUUUUAUGAAGAUCUGGGCUAAAACAUGU